rnacentral:lncRNA from 10 species
UUAUGGCCGCUGGGAAGUUGGGAGAGCGAGGCUGGGGCUCUGGCAGGCCCAGGGAAAGUUCCCUGUCUAGGCUCUUUAUUAAAAAAUUUAAAAGGAGGAGUUGAGGCACCUUGAAUAUUCCUUCGCGAGUUUGGAGACUAGCCGAUUUUUCAUGAAGCAAGCAAAGACCGCGGUCCCGGAUCCUGCAACUUCUACCUCAUUUUCUCCAGGCCUCUCCACUUGCCCGAGCUCUCAGCCACCAGGAGACAGACGGAAGGGGCUUCUGGAUUGCGUUGGGAGCGGGCACUGUCCCCUACCCACUCCUGCUCAGUUUCCCAAAGUCCAGCGACUUCCGACCCUCCUUGGGGGGAAAAAUACCAGUACCCAGACACCUUUGCACCCUGUUAUAUGACUGGGCUUGCUUCAGGAAUAUCUUACAAAGAAGAAGAAGAAGAAAGAACGGCUUGGAGUCAUGUUUACAUCUAGUUCUACUGAUCCGUUCACAUCUGGAGAGUUUAUUUAUAACUCCCUCUAUAACUCUCUGUUUGGAGACACUGUGGCUCUAUUGACAGACUGAUAUCUAGGAAAUAUUGCUCUAUGUCUAACCGUACCUAAAUGUGCUGUGGUUGUAUUUACAGAUUUAUGUUUGAGGGAAAUAUAACUAUUUCCAUUGUAUUUGUGCAUAUACAGUAGUUAUAGGAGCAGAUUUAUAUAUGGGAAAAUAUACGACUCUCUUACAGCCAUCCAGCUUUAUGUACAUUUGAUAUCCUGACAGAUUUAUAUCUCUGAACAGCUAUAUAGAUAAAAACGUAUAUUGUUAGAAUUAUGUAUCAGAAGAUAUAUACUUAUUGAUUGUGAAAUAGAGUAGUUAGAGCAUUCAUUUAGAGCCAUAUAUGGCUAUGGAGAUAUUGCUAUAUUAUUAUCACUAUAUAUAGGCAUAUCUAUUUAUAACUACAUAGUUAUAAAAAUACAUAUAAGUAAUUACAGUCCUAUAUGUGCAUGCUGCAAUCUCUCUCUAGAGUUAUAGACACUUUCAAAUAUAACUCUAUAGAGAGAUCUGUAUGCAUAUAAGGUGUAAUUAUCUUGUGAUGUGUUUACAUUGGGACUUAGGCCCGUCUGUCUAGAACACACAUAUUUAUAUGUAGGGGCUGGGAGAGACUUGUUCAUAGAUAUCUGCAGAGGGCCAACUGGAAACACUGUAUCUGCCCUCUAGGAAACCAGCUAGGAGAGUUGUGUACUUACGGAGGGAUGGAGUUACAAAAGGUAACCCCUGAGACUGCGGGAUUCUACUCUCGACGAGAACGACCCUCGGAUGAGAGAGCAGCCCAGGGGCACGCAGGCCGACCUGUCUUAGAGAUCACGGAUGGCGGCACGACUUUUGGGGAGAGUCAACCCAACCAACACGGUCCGGGCAGGCCUGAGGCUGGGAUGCUGUGCUGCUUUUCCCGGACUCCGCCUGGGGUUUCCUCAUCCUGUUUGGCGCUUUGCGACUCCUGGCAUCUGGAGACGUUCCCGUCGACCCCGUGGAGAGGUCAGGCCGGAGCCUCAGAACCCUGACACCCAUGGACUGCCGCGGAGGGCUCCUGCUUUUCUAAGCCUCGGGGACUGGUUUCUAAGACAACCGUGGAACCACUGUGAUGGGAAAAGCCACUCGCGCCUCGCCCAGGAGCAUUGGCUGGGCGGACUCGCGCUCCGCUCCUGGCAGUCAGGCUGCGUCCCCUUUAAAUAAUGGCAGCGCUGCGGGGUGGCAGCGAGGCUCCUGCUGCAGCCGCGGAGUCGGCUGCAUCCGGGGUCCAAUUUGAGGCAGCGUGGGAGAGGGGCCCCGGGUAUAUUGUCCCAGGGCAAAAGCCCCAGGAGUCCUGUCCUCAGGACCUCCUUGAGCCGACUUCCACCGAUGGAGCGGGAGCUUCAGGAGGCUUGCUGUGUUCUCAGGACUCCCCUUCAGAUCCAUUUUGGCCUGCUGAAUGAGAUAGGAUGGGCUCACUACAUCUGGUGAGGCCGUAGGGCCUCGCUGCAGCACAGAAUAAUCCCAUAAGUCUCAAGGCCUAGUGUCAGCUGCACUUUCACUGAUCCAUCAGCCCUCUGCUUCCUUCCUCCUUUGAAAGAGCAGUGGCCUGCCCCGCUUCUAAAAGCCCUGGGGCUCCGGAAAGCCGACCGCGCUUUAUGGGACUGGUAGAAAGAGGAUCAGGGGUGAAUCCGAGAUGGAGACCAUGUGACCACGCGUGGCACUGGUGUAUCCCACAGCAGAUGGUGUGAAUGUGUGUCACCGGAGGCAUACAUUGUGAUGGCGAAACCAACAAUGGUGUCCAGGAAUGUGCCCGGUCGAAGGGGGGAAUGAGUGACCUUUCCAUCAAUGCCAAGGAAAAUCAAAGAACACCUGGGAACGAGGAGGGUGCCUGUGCCUUAGUCCAAGCCACAUUUUGAAAUGCCUGCCAGAGGAUUAAAGAGGUUUUGGCAAAAUUCACCCCACCCCCAACCCUCCAUGGCCCAGGUAGCCCUGACCCAACCUCCCCUGCAACCAGCCGCAGACCCAGCCCCAGCCCCAGCCCAGUCCCUUUGGUUCCUUUCCCCGACAUUCGUUAUGGUCAAAAGAUCCAGAGACUCAGUCCACCCAGGAGCAGAGGAGAGGAUGUCUCUCACGAAUGAGACAUGAAGUGCAGAGGAAAUGCGACACCACCUGUCCUAGAAGACAAGGUCUGUCACGGUCGACUAGCGCUCAUUCCAGGCAAUCCACCCACCCAUGAGGUGAAACACGGAGAGGAAGGAAGCUUCCCUGUCUGAGAGAAGUAUGGAAGCCAAGAGCUCCAGGGUCGUCUAUCCUGCCCCAUCAAGCAGAAACAGGUUGAAAGAGAUAAACGAUCACGACAGGGAUCUCCAGUAAGUGUCUACCUGACGGACUGGGUUGUGAUCAUUGUUGAAGACAUUCAGCGAGAGCGAGAGGCAUCUAGGCCCCUCAGAAACAGGGGAGACAGAGCAAGAGGCAGGACAAAGCAGAGGCCAAAGCCCAGGCAGGAUACAGCACUGUGCCACUGCCACGGCCAUGAGGGGAGGGGUACCAAAAAGGUGGCUUUUCCAGAAAGGCCAGCGUUCCAGUGACUAUCUGUGAAAAUGCUUUGUGAUGCGUGGGUUAUCCCUCAGAGUUAAACAUUUGUUUUGACUUAGCAGUUUGGAAACACUCUUUUUUAAGAAUCAAUGAAGGGAUAUUUUGAAGCCCAUGGAUGAGUAUAUUGAGAAACUAAAUAUCCCACCAUAGAAACUAGCAAGAAAUUAUUAGUGAAAAUGCUCUGUGAUGUGUGGAUUCAUCUCACAGAGUUAGACUUUUGUUUUUAUUCUGCAGGUUUCAAACACUUUUUUGUGGAAUCUACAAAGGAACAUUUCAGAGCCCACAGAGGCCUAUAGUGAAAACUGAAUAUCUUGUGAUAAAAGCUAGAAACAAGCUAUCUGUGAAAAUGUUUGUGAUGUGUGGAUUUAUCUCAUAGAGUUAUACCUAUGUUUAUAUACAGCAGGUUGGAAACACUCUUUUAGUAGAAUUUAAAAUAAGAAAUUUCUGAGUCCUUGAGGCCUAUUAUAAAGAAAUGAAUAUCCCUGAUAAAAACUGACAACAAAUUAUCUGUGAAAAUGCUUUGAGAUAUGUGGAUUCAUCUCGCAAAGUUAAACCCUUGUUUUGGUUCAGAAGGUUGAAAAUACUCUUUUUGUAAUAUCUAUGAAGGGAUAUUUUGGAGCCCAUAGAGGCCUAUACUAAAAACCAAAUAUCCCAGGAUAAAAACUAGAAACAAGGUAUGUGAGAAAAUGUUUUGCAAUGUGUAGAAUCAUCUCACAGAGUUAAACCUUGUUUUGAUUGGGCAGGUUGGAAACAUUCUUUUUGUAGAAUAAAAGAAGGGACAUUUUGGAGCUCAUUGAGGCCUAUAGUGAAAAACCACAUAUGCCAUGAUAAAAACUAGAACAAGCUAUCUGUAAAAAUCUUUUGCAAUGUGUGGUUUCAUCUCACAGAGUUUAACCUUUAUUUUGACUUAGCGCUUUGGAAACACUAUUUUUCUAGAAUCUGCAAGGGUACAUUUCAAACCCAAUGAGGCCUGUAGUAAAAAACUGAAUAUCCCACGAUGAAAACUAGAAACUAGCUAUCUGUGAAAAUGCUUUGAGAUGUGUGGAUUCAUCUAAUGGAGUUGAAUGUUAGUUUUGAUUCAGCAGGUUGGAAACUUAGCAGUUUGGAAACAUUCAUUUUGUAGAAUCAAAGAGGGGACUUUUCUUAGCCCCCUGAGGCCUAUAGUGAAAAAUCAAAUAUCCCGUGAUAAAAACUAGAAACAAGUUAUCUGUAAAAAUGCUUUGCAAUUUGUGGAUUUGUCUCACAAUGUUAAACCUUUGUUUUGAUUUAGUAGGUUGGAAACUCUCUUUUUGUACAAUUGAUGAGGAGAUAUUUCAAAGCCCAUUGAUUGAGGCUUGUAGUGAAAAACCUAAAAUCCUAAUAAACACUAUAAAGAAGCUGUCUCUGAAAA